UACUUAGUGGCAGACGGGUGAGUAACAUGUGGGUAUCUACCCUUCGGCCUGGAAUAACACGAGGAAACUUGUGCUAAUACCGGAUAAGUCUUUACGGAGAAAGCUUUAUGCACCAUUGGAUGAGCCCGCACUUGAUUAGUUUGUCGGUAGGGUAAUGGCCUACCAAGACUAUGAUCAAUAGCUGAUUUGAGAGGAUGAUCAGCCACAUUGGGACUGAGACACGGCCCAAACUCCUACGGGAGGCAGCAGUGGGGAAUCUUGCACAAUGGAGGAAACUCUGAUGCAGCGAUGCCGCGUGAGUGAAGAAGGCCUUUGGGUUGUAAAGCUCUUUCGUCGGGGAAGAAAAUGACUGUACCCGAAUAAGAAGGUCCGGCUAACUUCGUGCCAGCAGCCGCGGUAAUACGAAGGGACCUAGCGUAGUUCGGAAUUACUGGGCUUAAAGAGUUCGUAGGUGGUUGAAAAAGUUGGUGGUGAAAUCCCAGAGCUUAACUCUGGAACUGCCAUCAAAACUUUUCAGCUAGAGUAUGAUA
rnacentral:rRNA from 1 species